GAUGAACGCUAGCGGCAGGCCUAACACAUGCAAGUCGAGGGAGAAGCCCUUUCGGGGGCAGAAACCGGCGCACGGGUGCGUAACGCGUAUGCAACCUACCUUUCACAGGGGGAUAGCCCGAAGAAAUUUGGAUUAAUACCCCAUAAUAUUAUUGGAUGGCAUCAUUUGAUAAUUAAAACUGUGGUGGUGAAAGAUGGGCAUGCGUCCUAUUAGCUAGUUGGAGUGGUAACGGCACCCCAAGGCUACGAUAGGUAGGGGUCCUGAGAGGGAGAUCCCCCACACUGGUACUGAGACAGGGACCAGACUCCUACGGGAGGCAGCAGUGAGGAAUAUUGGUCAAUGGUCGGAAGACUGAACCAGCCAUGCCGCGUGCAGGAAGAAUGCCUUAUGGGUUGUAAACUGCUUUUAUAUGGGAAGAAUAAGGCGUACGUGUACGUUGAUGACGGUACCAUAUGAAUAAGCAUCGGCUAACUCCGUG
rnacentral:rRNA from 1 species